GACGAACGCUGGCGGCGUGCUUAACACAUGCAAGUCGAACGGAAAGGCCCUGCUUUUGUGGGGUGCUCGAGUGGCGAACGGGUGAGUAACACGUGAGUAACCUGCCCUUGACUUUGGGAUAACUUCAGGAAACUGGGGCUAAUACCGGAUAGGAGCUCCUGCUGCAUGGUGGGGGUUGGAAAGUUUCGGCGGUUGGGGAUGGACUCGCGGCUUAUCAGCUUGUUGGUGGGGUAGUGGCUUACCAAGGCUUUGACGGGUAGCCGGCCUGAGAGGGUGACCGGCCACAUUGGGACUGAGAUACGGCCCAGACUCCUACGGGAGGCAGCAGUGGGGAAUAUUGCACAAUGGGCGGAAGCCUGAUGCAGCAACUCCGCGUGCGGGAUGACAGCCUUCGGGUUGUAAACCGCUUUCGCCUGUGACGAAGCGUGAGUGACGGUAAUGGGUAAAGAAGCACCGGCUAACUACGUGCCAGCAGCCGCGGUGAUACGUAGGGUGCGAGCGUUGUCCGGAUUUAUUGGGCGUAAAGGGCUCGUAGGUGGUUGAUCGCGUCGGAAGUGUAAUCUUGGGGCUUAACCCUGAGCGUGCUUUCGAUACGGGUUGACUUGAGGAAGGUAGGGGAGAAUGGAAUUCCUGGUGGAGCGGUGGAAUGCGCAGAUAUCAGGAGGAACACCAGUGGCGAAGGCGGUUCUCUGGGCCUUUCCUGACGCUGAGGAGCGAAAGCGUGGGGAGCGAACAGGCUUAGAUACCCUGGUAGUCCACGCUGUAAACGGUGGGUACUAGGUGUGGGGUCCAUUCCACGGGUUCCGUGCCGUAGCUAACGCUUUAAGUACCCCGCCUGGGGAGUACGGCCGCAAGGCUAAAACUCAAAGGAAUUGACGGGGCCCCGCACAAGCGGCGGAGCAUGCGGAUUAAUUCGAUGCAACGCGUAGAACCUUACCUGGGUUUGACAUGGAUCGGGAGCGCUCAGAGAUGGGUGUGCCUCUUUUGGGGUCGGUUCACAGGUGGUGCAUGGCUGUCGUCAGCUCGUGUCGUGAGAUGUUGGGUUAAGUCCCGCAACGAGCGCAACCCUUGUUUACUGUUGCCAGCACGUUAUGGUGGGGACUCAGUGGAGACCGCCGGGGUCAACUCGGAGGAAGGUGGGGAUGACGUCAAGUCACCAUGCCCCUUAUGUCCAGGGCUUCACGCAUGCUACAAUGGCUGGUACAGAGAGUGGCGAGCCUGUGAGGGUGAGCGAAUCUCGGAAAGCCGGUCUCAGUUCGGAUUGGGGUCUGCAACUCGACCUCAUGAAGUCGGAGUCGCUAGUAAUCGCAGAUCAGCAACGCUGCGGUGAAUACGUUCCCGGG
rnacentral:rRNA from 1 species